rnacentral:rRNA from 1 species
AUUGAACGCUGGCGGCAUGCCUUACACAUGCAAGUCGAACGGCAGCACGGGAGCAAUCCUGGUGGCGAGUGGCGAACGGGUGAGUAAUAUAUCGGAACGUGCCCAGUCGUGGGGAUAACGUAGCGAAAGCUACGCUAAUACCGCAUACGAUCUAUGGAUGAAAGCGGGGGAUCGCAAGACCUCGCGCGAUUGGAGCGGCCGAUAUCAGAUUAGGUAGUUGGUGAGGUAAAGGCUCACCAAGCCGACGAUCUGUAGCUGGUCUGAGAGGACGACCAGCCACACUGGGACUGAGACACGGCCCAGACUCCUACGGGGGCAGCAGUGGGAAUUUUGGACAAUGGGCGCAAGCCUGAUCCAGCAAUAGCCGCGUAGCAGGAUGAAGG